GUCACCGUAGCUCAGCUGGUUAGAGCGGGCGUUUCAUAAGCGCCAGGUCGGUGGUUCGAGCCCACCCGGUGACACCA
rnacentral:tRNA from 1 species